rnacentral:rRNA from 1 species
UACGUAGGGUGCAAGCGUUAAUCGGAAUUACUGGGCGUAAAGCGUGCGCAGGCGGUUAUGUAAGACAGAUGUGAAAUCCCCGGGCUCAACCUGGGAACUGCAUUUGUGACUGUAGAGCUGGAGUACGGUAGAGGGGGAUGGAAUUCCGCGUGUAGCAGUGAAAUGCAUAGAUAUGCGGAGGAACACCGAUGGCGAAGGCAAUCCCCUGGACCUGUACUGACGCUCAUGCACGAAAGCGUGGGGAGCAAACAGG